GGGCCCGUAGUCUAGAUUGGUUAGGACGCCGCCCUGACACGGCGGAGGUCGCCGGUUCAAGUCCGGCCGGGCCCACCA
rnacentral:tRNA from 7 species